rnacentral:rRNA from 1 species
GAUGAACGCUGGCGGCGUGCCUAAUACAUGCAAGUCGAGCGAACAGACGAGGAGCUUGCUCCUCUGACGUUAGCGGCGGACGGGUGAGUAACACGUGGAUAACCUACCUAUAAGACUGGGAUAACUUCGGGAAACCGGAGCUAAUACCGGAUAAUAUAUUGAACCGCAUGGUUCAAUAGUGAAAGACGGUUUUGCUGUCACUUAUAGAUGGAUCCGCGCCGCAUUAGCUAGUUGGUAAGGUAACGGCUUACCAAGGCAACGAUGCGUAGCCGAUCUGAGAGGGUGAUCGGCCACACUGGAACUGAGACACGGUCCAGACUCCUACGGGAGGCAGCAGUAGGGAAUCUUCCGCAAUGGGCGAAAGCCUGACAGAGCAACGCCGCGUGAGUGAUGAAGGUCUUCGGAUCGUAAAACUCUGUUAUUAGGGAAGAACAAAUGUGUAAGUAACUAUGCACGUCUUGACGGUACCUAAUCAGAAAGCCACGGCUAACUACGUG